GGAGGGAUCAUUAAGGCUACCGAUCAAGUACCAGACUGCUAAGCAGCAGCCUGGUUCCACCGUGCAACUGCGCAAGUUCACCCUUUUUCAGGCUGAGACUUAGAGUUUUCAGGGGCUUCCCCUGUUCUAGCGUUAAAAGAGGCUUGAUUUAAGCAAGUCCUCGUUAUGUUAAGCAGAAAUGAUCCUUAACGAUGGAUGUCUAGGGUUCGAGAUCGUUGAAGAGCGCAGCAAAGCGCGAUAUUCGAUGUGAUUUGCAGAACAUGUGAUGCAUUGGACUCUUGAACGCAUGUGCACUGCUUAAGCCCUGCUUAAGCAGUAUGUCUGGCUGAGUGCUAACCCAAUCACCUCUCAAGCAGCCUGAUUUCAGGCUUAAGUCUCGAGUUGUUACGGUGCAAGGCUCCGUAUAAGUACCAGAUCGAGGUUUUCCGGUCUUAGACUCGCUUAUGGUUUCAUUAUCAUCGACUACAAGACGAGACUCCUCGACUUAGAGCACGAUCUGCUGAUGAGCAGCGUGCGACUUAGCUUAAACCAGCUUAGCCUCAGCUCAGACAGGACCAUCCGCUAGACUUAAGCAUAUUAUUCAGCGGAAGAAAAGAAAACAACCGUGAUUUCCUCAGUAACUGCGAGUGAAGCGGAAUCUGACCAGGGUGAAUCAAGCGGGUCUGCUCCUGUCUUGAGCUGUGCCCUUUAGAUCAGUGUCGGUGCUCAAUUUUCCCUCAAGUCGGCUGGAAAGCCGCGCCAAAGAAGGUGACAGCCCUGUUGAAGGAGAAAGGUGCUGAGUACCAGCAGCUGAAUC
rnacentral:misc_RNA from 1 species